GAUGAACGCUGACAGAAUGCUUAACACAUGCUAGUCGAUGGGGAAGUGGUGCUUGCACCAUGGUAACCAUGGAGGACGGGCGUGUAACGCGUAAGGAACCUACCUGCGGGAUCGGGAUAACAGCAGGAAACUCCUGACAAGACCGCAUAAGGCCAUUAAGCAGCAUAGCUUAGUGAUGAAAGGAGACGCCUGCGGAGAGCCUUGCGGCCGAUUAGCUAGUUGGCGGGGUAACGGCCCACCAAGGCGAAGAUAGGUAGCCGGCCUGAGAGGGUAGACGGCCACAAGGGGACGAGGAUGCCGCCCUUACGCCUACGGGAGGCAGCAGUGGGGAAUAUUGGACAAUGGGGGCAACACUGAUCCAGCAAUUCUGUGUGGACGAAGUCGGUUUUCGGAUUGUAAAGUGCUUUCAGCAGGGAAGAAGGAAGUGACGGUACCUUCAGAAGAAGCGACGGCUAAAUACGUG
rnacentral:rRNA from 1 species